UACGGAGGGUGCGAGCGUUAUCCGGAAUUACUGGGUUUAAAGGGUGCGUAGGCGGCGCAGUAAGUCAGGAGUGAAAGUUUGCGGCUCAACCGUAAAAUUGCUUUUGAUACUGCUGUGCUAGGAUUAGGAUGAGGUCAGCGGAAUGUGGCAUGUAGCGGUGAAAUGCAUAGAUAUGCCAUAGAACACCAAUUGCGAAGGCAGCUGGCUAGACCUAUAUUGACGCUGAGGCACGAAAGCGUGGGGAGCGAACAGG
rnacentral:rRNA from 1 species